UCAGUCUUCCCACCUAGCUCGCUCCGAGGCUCCCGCCGGAGACGCCUGGGAGCCAGCAGAAGACAGCGACCUCCGCCUCCUCCGUGUCCAGCGUACACAGCCUCCCCGCUGCUUCCAGCAUAGUCGGAAGGAAGGAAACCUGGAUCAGCCGAGCCAGCGAGCCGGCACCACCCCAGUGGAUCCCUAAUGAGAAGUUUCCUGAACCGAGAAUGAGGCAUCCCGAAGGCAUCUGAUGCCCUGAUGAGGAGGAGAGUGGGUCGGCCUGCCUUUUGGGGGAGGUGUGGUGUGGUGGUGGGAGUCUUCCUUGCUAGACCUGGGCAAGAGGGUCUGGCUUAGUCUUGUAAUGAACUACCAGGGCUUCCAUGCCUGAGUACAAAGCAGGCAAUUGGUUAGGAGGAUGGAUCAGGAUGGUGGUGUCACUUUCCAGGCUCGCUAUGGAGAACCACAAACUCAUUCCGGGGUGGGGGUGUCUGGGCCCAUAGCAGAAUGCUCAGAGGUUUCUAGGGGGAUAAAACAGGAAUAGCCGAAUCCAUUCAGGGCGUUCCAUUACUCAGUACCUUCAGAAUUUAUAGAUUAUCCCCUAGGAGGGGUCUACGAUUAGCCCAGCUCUACCCAGUGAUUCUAAGCCGGAAGAAAGAAUGGAGAUACUGCUGGUAGACGGCCCUCAGGGAUUCCAGCACACGGAAUUGCUAUUCUAAAGACGGUGCGGCUUUGAUUUUGAAAUCCCUUUUAACCUGUGGACUUUUCCGUAUGGCAUCGAUUGUGGGGGUUCUAAUUUGAGACAGAGAAGGGAUUUCAGGAUCUCAACUCUUCAGUUCAAAAUGAUUCUCAUGUCCAAAGUGGGUGCAUACUCUUGAGC